rnacentral:rRNA from 1 species
ACUCCUACGGGAGGCAGCAGUAGGGAAUCUUCGGCAAUGGGCGAAAGCCUGACCGAGCAACGCCGCGUGAGUGAUGAAGGCUUUCGGGUCGUAAAACUCUGUUGUUAGGGAAGAACAAGUACGAGAGUAACUGCUCGUACCUUGACGGUACCUAACCAGAAAGCCACGGCUAACUACGUGCCAGCAGCCGCGGUAAUACGUAGGUGGCGAGCGUUAUCCGGAAUUAUUGGGCGUAAAGCGCGCGCAGGCGGUUCCUUAAGUCUGAUGUGAAAGCCCACGGCUCAACCGUGGAGGGUCAUUGGAAACUGGGGAACUUGAGUGCAGAAGAGAAGAGCGGAAUUCCACGUGUAGCGGUGAAAUGCGUAGAGAUGUGGAGGAACACCAGUGGCGAAGGCGGCUCUUUGGUCUGUAACUGACGCUGAGGCGCGAAAGCGUGGGGAGCAAACAGGAUUAGAUACCCUGGUAGUCCACGCCGUAAACGAUGAGUGCUAAGUGUUAGAGGGUUUCCGCCCUUUAGUGCUGAAGUUAACGCAUUAAGCACUCCGCCUGGGGAGUACGGCCGCAAGGCUGAAACUCAAAGGAAUUGACGGGGGCCCGCACAAGCGGUGGAGCAUGUGGUUUAAUUCGAAGCAACGCGAAGAACCUUACCAGGUCUUGACAUCCUCUGACAACCCUAGAGAUAGGGCUUUCCCUUCGGGGACAGAGUGACAGGUGGUGCAUGGUUGUCGUCAGCUCGUGUCGUGAGAUGUUGGGUUAAGUCCCGCAACGAGCGCAACCCUUGAUCUUAGUUGCCAGCAUUCAGUUGGGCACUCUAAGGUGACUGCCGGUGACAAACCGGAGGAAGGUGGGGAUGACGUCAAAUCAUCAUGCCCCUUAUGACCUGGGCUACACACGUGCUACAAUGGACAAUACAAAGGGUUGCAAGACCGCGAGGUGGAGCUAAUCCCAUAAAAUUGUUCUCAGUUCGGAUUGCAGGCUGCAACUCGCCUGCAUGAAGCCGGAAUCGCUAGUAAUCGCG